GACGAACGCUGGCGGUGUGCUUAACACAUGCAAGUCGAACGGAAAGGCCCUGCUUUUGUGGGGUGCUCGAGUGGCGAACGGGUGAGUAACACGUGAGUAGCCUGCCCUUGACUUUGGGAUAACUUCAGGAAACUGGGGCUAAUACCGGAUAGGAGCUCCUGCUGCAUGGUGGGGGUUGGAAAGUUUCGGCGGUUGGGGAUGGACUCGCGGCUUAUCAGCUUGUUGGUGGGGUAGUGGCUUACCAAGGCUUUGACGGGUAGCCGGCCUGAGAGGGUGACCGGCCACAUUGGGACUGAGAUACGGCCCAGACUCCUACGGGAGGCAGCAGUGGGGAAUAUUGCACAAUGGGCGGAAGCCUGAUGCAGCAACGCCGCGUGCGGGAUGACGGCCUUCGGGUUGUAAACCGCUUUCGCCUGUGACGAAGCGUGAGUGACGGUAAUGGGUAAAGAAGCACCGGCUAACUACGUG
rnacentral:rRNA from 1 species